rnacentral:rRNA from 1 species
UACGUGGGGGGCAAGCGUUGUCCGGAAUCAUUGGGCGUAAAGAGCGUGUAGGCGGCCCGAUAAGUCCGCUGUGAAAGUCCAGGGCUCAACCCUGGAAUGCCAGUGGAAACUGUCGGGCUGGAGUCCGGAAGAGGCGAGUGGAAUUCCUGGUGUAGCGGUGAAAUGCGCAGAUAUCAGGAGGAACACCAAUGGCGAAGGCAGCUCGCUGGGACGGUACUGACGCUGAGACGCGAAAGCGUGGGGAGCAAACAGG